AGGGGAUUGUGUGCACAUUAAAGCUUGAGAAACACUGCUUUAAACUAAUCUCUGCAGAAAUGCAAUAGGUGAGGGAUUUUGUAAAGCAAAGACAAAAAUAUAGCUGAGAAUGUAGUCUGAGAGCCACCGGAUCGAGCAGUGAAGUGCUAUGUCAGGAGUUAUAUAUAUCCCCAAACUGAGUAACAAUCAGCAGAUUUCGUAGCUCUCUUUAGGCCCUAAGGGUUACUAUGACUGAAUGUUUUAAAAUUCUGGAGCCAUUAUCAUGGCUCUGGCUUUAAAUUCUAAAGAAGACAGAAAAUGAAGGAUAACAACGAGGUUGGAAUUUGUGGUCAGAUGCGGAAAGGGAGACUCUCUCUCCCUUGCUGACUUCGAAGAAGCAAGCUGCCAUGUUGAGUGCCGUCACAGGGAGAGGACCACACAGCGAGGAGCUGAGGGCAGCCUCCAGCCAACAGCCCAGAAGAAACUGUGACCCUCAGUCCAGCAACACACACAAGACUGAAUGCUGCCAACAACUAUGGGAGCUUGGAAAGAAAUCCUUCUCCUUUGAACAUUUAGAUGAGAACUCCCCUCUCCUUCCAUCCUCAGAGAGCCCUCCUUUAAUUAUCUAUUGUAUGAAUCUCAAACACCUCGACUUCCAAGGCAAUCCCUUCCCUAACCCAUAGGAUUUGGUUUAAUCUGGUGAUCCGUUGCCAUUUCCCACCUAAGUAACCCCAGAUGAAAUACGCUAAUUCACAAUAAUUUCCUCAAGACUGACUUUCUCAGUUUAAAUAACACCACGGGAAAGUGCAGGGCCUUAGUGGAACGGUCUGGACUGGAUGGACUUUGGCAUUCGUUUGACACCCUCCACUAGGAUGAGCUAAAAAUAGCUCUUGAACAAAACAUGUCUCCCAAGGAUGAGCAAAGUUUCUUGUGGACAAU
rnacentral:lncRNA from 1 species